AAAUGGCAUGUCCUUUAUGGAAAAUAGUUUGGCAGUUCGAUGAAAAUAAAGAAUUUAACUUAAGAAGUUAAAGAUUAGUAAAAUAAGCACAAGAAUAGCAUAAGAAGAGAAAUGAAAAAAAAAUUCUGAAAAACCAAAUCCAAGAAACAAUAUAAUUUUUAGAUUGUGCAUAAGCCUAAUUAAGAAGAGUCAAACACGAACUUGGAAAACUACGAUUGAGAUUUAUAUCAUAGGGCAGCCACACAUUGAAUUUUUUUUUUUUUUGUGCAGCUUUGUAGUGGGGAAUGCACAAAUUUUGCAACAUUUUUUUCUGAAACGUUGACUCAAGGGAAUAUGACUUGAUAGAUAUUAGGUUGGUGCAAACACAAUUGUGGUUUUUGCCAUUAAAAGUAAUGGCAAAAGCCACAACUACAUUUGCACCAACCU
rnacentral:lncRNA from 10 species